GGUUUGCGUGAGGGAUAGUAGUGAAAAUCCUUUUAUGUAGCGUAGUGAAAUAAAAGAUUGUAACGUAUAGCCCGACCCAGC
rnacentral:sRNA from 1 species